UGGGGGAUAUUGCACAAUGGGGGAAACCCUGAUGCAGCGACGCCGCGUGGAGGAAGAAGGUUUUCGGAUUGUAAACUCCUGUUGUUGAGGAAGAUAAUGACGGUACUCAACAAGGAAGUGACGGCUAACUACGUGCCAGCAGCCGCGGUAAAACGUAGGUCACAAGCGUUGUCCGGAAUUACUGGGUGUAAAGGGAGCGCAGGCGGGAAGACAAGUUGGAAGUGAAAUCCAUGGGCUCAACCCAUGAACUGCUUUCAAAACUGUUUUUCUUGAGUAGUGCAGAGGUAGGCGGAAUUCCCGGUGUAGCGGUGGAAUGCGUAGAUAUCGGGAGGAACACCAGUGGCGAAGGCGGCCUACUGGGCACCAACUGACGCUGAGGCUCGAAAGUGUGGGUAGCAAACAGGAUUAGAUACCCUGGUAGUCCACACCGUAAACGAUGAUUACUAGGUGUUGGAGGAUUGACCCCUUCAGUGCCGCAGUUAACACAAUAAGUAAUCCACCUGGGGAGUACGACCGCAAGGUUGAAACUCAAAGGAAUUGACGGGGGCCCGCACAAGCAGUGGAGUAUGUGGUUUAAUUCGACGCAACGCGAAGAACCUUACCAAGUCUUGACAUCCUGCGACGAUGCUAGAAAUAGUAUUUUCCUUCGGGACGCAGAGACAGGUGGUGCAUGGUUGUCGUCAGCUCGUGUCGUGAGAUGUUGGGUUAAGUCCCGCAACGAGCGCAACCCUUAUGGUCAGUUACUACGCAAGAGGACUCUGGCCAGACUACCGUUGACAAAACGGAGGAAGGUGGGGAUGACGUCAAAUCAUCAUGCCCUUUAUGACUUGGGCUACACACGUACUACAAUGGCGUUAAACAAAGAGAAGCAAGACCGCGAGGUGGAGCAAAACUCAGAAACAACGUCCCAGUUCGGACUGCAGGCUGCAACUCGCCUGCACGAAGUCGGAAUUGCUAGUAAUCGUGGAUCAGCAUGCCACGGUGAAUACGUUCCC
rnacentral:rRNA from 1 species